GCCUACGGCCAUACCACCCUGAAAGCGCCCGAUCUCGUCUGAUCUCGGAAGCUAAGCAGGGACGGGCUUGGUUAGUACCUGGAUGGGAGACCGCCUGGGAAUACCAGGUGUUGUAGGCWUU
rnacentral:rRNA from 1 species